rnacentral:rRNA from 1 species
UGGGGAAUCUUGGUCAAUGGGCGAAAGCCUGAACCAGCGACGCCGCGUGAGUGAUGAAGGCCUUCGGGUUGUAAAGCUCUGUGGGGCGAGACGAAAGCCUACGUUCUAACAGGACGUAGUUUGACGGUAUCGCCUUAGCAAGCACCGGCUAACUCUGUGCCAGCAGCCGCGGUAAGACAGAGGGUGCAAACGUUGCUCGGAAUCACUGGGCGUAAAGGGCGUGUAGGCGGGAAGGAAAGUCAGAUGUGAAAUCCCUGGGCUCAACCCAGGAACUGCAUUUGAAACUCCCUUUCUUGAGUGUCGGAGAGGAAAGUGGAAUUCCUGGUGUAGAGGUGAAAUUCGUAGAUAUCAGGAGGAACACCGGUGGCGAAGGCGGCUUUCUGGACGACAACUGACGCUGAGACGCGAAAGCGUGGGGAGCAAA